AUUGAACGCUGGCGGCAGGCCUAACACAUGCAAGUCGAACGGUAACAGGAAGCAGCUUGCUGCUUCGCUGACGAGUGGCGGACGGGUGAGUAAUGUCUGUGAAGCUGCCUGAUGGAGGGGGAUAACUACUGGAAACGGUAGCUAAUACCGCAUAAUGUCGCAAGACCAAAGAGGGGGACCUUCGGGCCUCUUGCCAUCGGAUGUGCCCAGAUGGGAUUAGCUUGUUGGUGGGGUAACGGCUCACCAAGGCGACGAUCCCUAGCUGGUCUGAGAGGAUGACCAGCCACACUGGAACUGAGACACGGUCCAGACUCCUACGGGAGGCAGCAGUGGGGAAUAUUGCACAAUGGGCGAAAGCCUGAUGCAGCCAUGCCGCGUGUAUGAAGAAGGCCUUCGGGUUGUAAAGUACUUUCAGCGGGGAGGAAGGGAGUAAAGUUAAUACCUUUGCUCAUUGACGUUACCCGCAGAAGAAGCGACGGCUAACUCCGUG
rnacentral:rRNA from 1 species